rnacentral:rRNA from 1 species
GACGGAGGAUCCAAGCGUUGUCCGGAUUUACUGGGUUUAAAGGGUGCGUAGGCGGAUGACUAAGUCAGUGGUGAAAGCCUGUAGCUUAACUACAGAAGUGCCACUGAAACUGGUUGUCUUGAGUACGGUUGAGGUUGUUGGAAUGCAUCAUGUAGCGGUGAAAUGCUUAGAUAUGAUACAGAACACCAAUUGCGAAGGCAGACAACUAAGCCGUAACUGACGCUGAGGCACGAAAGCGUGGGGAGCAAACAGG